rnacentral:lncRNA from 1 species
UGGAUUCUGCAGGGUUAGAGGUCCUGGUCCCCAGAAAGGGUGUGUUUUUGGCAGAGGAUGGCAAAAAUCCCAUUGAACAAUAAGCUACAGCUCCACUUGGACACUCCGGGCUCUGUGCGGCCAGGAACCAGGAGGCAAGAAGAGGAACCACUUCUGUCAGGGGUAAUUGACCUUGAUCAGCAGGAGCAGGCAGAGCUGCUGUUACAUGAUGGGAGCAGGGAGGAACGUCCAUGGAACUCAGUUGACCCACUUGGGUGCCUCUUGGAAGGCUCUUGCCUAAUUGUGACAAAUGUAGUGAUGUAGUAAUGGAGCCUAGACACGGUUUCCCCUCAGGAAGAGAGGCCCACCAGAACCCCAGAAGAGCUGCUCCACAACUGUGCUAUGAAGUGGAGCCACACGGGACACAAGGAUAACAAUUCCUAAGACAGAGGAAAUGAGAAACAUUGAAACAACUCUUUUGACAAAACACUGUGGCCAGCGCAUUGGGGAAAAAUACUUCACACCUAUAUGAUCACGAACCAAUUUUCUCUAGCACUAUUGUGAUAAGACAAUUUUAUAUCUGUGGGUAAAUAUUGCAAUUUUAAUAUACAUGUAAAUAAAAAUAUUUCCUAUAAACACAUUCUUUUAUUGUUCAUUCUUAGUAUUCAUACUUAUCUAUAAAAAUAUUUCCUAUAAACACAUUCUUUAUUCAUACUUAUCUAUAAUGUAUUACAAAAACACAGCUAGUGAUGAUGUCAUCACUUUUUAUCAGAAAAACUUUUAGCAGUAACUUUUUAGCAGAAAAGAUGGGGAAUUUUUCUAUAACGUGCUAUUGUUUGCUUAGCUAGUGAUACAGAUAUGCAAUGCGUUUUCUCUUUCUUUCUUCCUGCCUUUCAAAAGGUGUAUCUCUGAUUUGCAUUUGAGAGUUCACACAAGUUCAGCUGCAAGCUUUGAGAAUUUGUGGUUCCACAUAAAAAACUGUAAACGGGUUUAAAAACCAGUCCUGUUCCCCUUCUGCUC